rnacentral:rRNA from 1 species
UACGAAGGGGGCUAGCGUUGUUCGGAAUCACUGGGCGUAAAGCGCACGUAGGCGGAUCUUUAAGUCAGGGGUGAAAUCCCGAGGCUCAACCUCGGAACUGCCUUUGAUACUGGGAUCUCGAGUCCGGGAGAGGUGAGUGGAACUGCGAGUGUAGAGGUGAAAUUCGUAGAUAUUCGCAAGAACACCAGUGGCGAAGGCGGCUCACUGGCCCGGAACUGACGCUGAGGUGCGAAAAGCGUGGGGAGCAAACAGGG